rnacentral:tRNA from 2 species
GCGAAAAGAGCUCGGUAAGGAUUGAGCAAUAGAUUGUGAAUCUAAAGGUCAUGGGUUCAAAUCCCAUUUUUCGCC